rnacentral:rRNA from 1 species
UUACCCAAUCCCGACACGGGGAGGUAGUGACAAUAAAUACUGAUACAGGGCUCUUUUGGGUCUUGUAAUUGGAAUGAGUACAAUUUAAAUCCCUUAACGAGGAACAAUUGGAGGGCAAGUCUGGUGCCAGCAGCCGCGGUAAUUCCAGCUCCAAUAGCGUAUAUUAAAGUUGUUGUGGUUAAAAAGCUCGUAGUUGAACCUUGGGCCUGGCUAGCCGGUCCGCCUCACCGCGUGUACUGGUCCGGCCGGGCCUUUCCCUCUGUGGAACCCCAUGCCCUUCACUGGGUGUGGCGGGGAAACAGGACUUUUACUUUGAAAAAAUUAGAGUGCUCCAGGCAGGCCUAUGCUCGAAUACAUUAGCAUGGAAUAAUAGAAUAGGACGUGUGGUUCUAUUUUGUUGGUUUCUAGGACCGCCGUAAUGAUUAAUAGGGACAGUCGGGGGCAUCAGUAUUCAAUUGUCAGAGGUGAAAUUCUUGGAUUUAUUGAAGACUAACUACUGCGAAAGCAUUUGCCAAGGAUGUUUUCAUUAAUCAGGAACGAAAGUUAGGGGAUCGAAGACGAUCAGAUACCGUCGUAGUCUUAACCAUAAACUAUGCCGACUAGGGAUCGGACGAUGUUAUUUUUUGACUCGUUCGGCACCUUACGAGAAAUCAAAGUGCUUGGGCUCCAGG